UAUAUGACAAAAGAAUAAUAAAUAAAUUGGUCAAGUACUAGGGUUAGGCCUAAUUUAUGUCUAUUUAUUUAUAUGAAAUGAACUUAAAAUGUUUUAUUUGACCAAUUGGACUCUCUCUUUUUCAAGAAACACAUAACAAUCCAAGAAGGAAGAUCCUUUCCUGGACUUAAGAGAUGCACCACAUGCUGCAAGGAGUUCCUCUGCCCGUUCUGCAGUUCUUCUUUGUUUCACCCAACAAAGUUGAGCAAAGUGAAAUCCCAUUUGGAGAGCCAUUUCAAAUGCAGUUCUCUAUGAAGACCAUCAUAUAUGGCCUGGCUGGGCUGCAGAAUUUCUCUGUGGGAUGUUGAGAAGGCCUUCUUCUCUGGUCCGGAUUAUCAUCACAUUGAAGUGGAAGAAAAGAGAAAAGAGGGGAGAGCAUCCAUUGGAGUCAGUGAGGACGUUGUCGCUGAAGUUCUUUCUGUGUGGUUCACGUCAUGAACAAAUUUGUUUUUGUGUGUUCAACUGUUGUAAUGUAUUAUUUUAUAAAAUAUACACAAUCUUAAAUCUA